CAUUAGACCUGUGAGAGGGGCUGUGACAGUGGAACCCGAAUGAAGACAGGAAAAGUCUGUAGAGGACUGAUGGUUAUGUUCACCAUUCAAAUUGCAAGAAAACCAAUAAGAAGUCAGUAAAGUGCAUUCAAAGAGAAAGGUGGGACUCGUGAAGCAAUACUAAACUGAUACACAAAGGAUCCCCGUACUUCAUCAAAAUAUCAAUGUUGUCCAUGACACACAAAGAACCCAGCUGUAGUUUAAUUCAGCAUCACAGUCCCAACAUGUUUUAAAACAUGUUCCAGCUUUUGGUCCCAGGAUUAUUCAACCUAGCUCAUAAAAGAAAACAAUAUUGCAUUUCUAAGUAUUGGCUCCUAGAAUUGGCAAGUUUAGUCAAGAAAAGCUGGAAUGCCGUUAAAACAACACCCUGUCAUCUUUCAAUCAGUCCUUAGCUGAAGUUAAAAUCCCACUCAUUCUGCAUGAUCCAGCCUCUGUAGCAUAGAGUGAGUAGCCCCUUAACAAGAACCAAAAUGGAGGGUACGGAUGAGGCUCAGAUCGUCACCACCUGGAGAAUAGAGACAGUGACUGAGUCACCAGGAAAUCUGUCCCCUGCUCAUCCCAGAAUCCCCGAGCUUUGACUUUUUAAGAGAACAUGUGACAGAUAAUGCCAUCUGAGAAGCUUAGGCAACUCAGUCAUCAAUGUGUCCUCGAGAAGAGCAUAUCCCCAAAUUGGAAAAUAAUCCUUCAGGGCAUCUGAACAUAACCACAUUUGGCUUACUUUGUGAAGCAGUUGUCUGAAUAGAAUAAGACUGGCUUGGAACGAGAUUCACAGAGCAACCAAAUAAAGAUGAUUGAGUGAAUGGCUAAAGAAAUAAAUAUGUUCGAAUCUGUACCCAUCUCAUGUCUUUCCUGAUGAUUGCCUCCUUUACUGUAUGUUUUCCACUGAGAUGAAGAUUUUGGUCAUUUCCUCAUUCAUGUUCCUGCUUUUCAAAACCCAAGCAAGAAAGGAAACUUCUACAGUGACUUUCUCAUUAUGAAAUCUUAGCAUUCACUAGUCGGCCAUAAUGGAAAACCAGCCAAAUGGACACAUAUACACUGGUCUGUACCCGCAGAGAAAGAAAUGCAAAUCUCUGUGAUCAGAAAACUAUCCUAUCUUGUACAUUGUUAAAAGUCUGCCUCCAAAAAGUUUACUUCUGGAAUACUGUAAUUGAAUAGAAUCAGGGAUCCUACCUGUGUCCUUCAACUUUCACAUCUUGUCUACUCAAGUAAGGGUUGAAUUUGCAUGACUAUAUCUAAGGUUCGAGGGCUUACCUGUUGGCAGUAGACCCAGUAGUCUAUGAAUGGAAAUGGGCAAACCUGUGACCUCCCAAAACUUUAAUAUGAAAGUUUUGUUUGUGUAUACUCAUGGCAUUAUUCUUUUAAUAAAGAGAUAAUCUAUAUA
rnacentral:lncRNA from 1 species